rnacentral:rRNA from 1 species
GACGAACGCUGGCGGCGUGCUUACCACAUGCAAGUCGAACGAAGUGGCGAACGGGUGAGUAACGCGUAAUCAACCUGCCCUUCAGAGGGGGACAACAGUUGGAAACGACUGCUAAUACCGCAUACUGAAGGAGGGGAUUGCGUCUGAUUAGCUAGUUGGAGGGGUAACGGCCCACCCAGGCGAUGAUCAGUAGCCGGUCUGAGAGGAUGAACGGCCACAUUGGUACUGAGAAAAGGCCCAGAAUCCGACGGGAGGCAGCAGUGGGGAAGCUGCCGCAAUGGACGAAAGUCUGACGGAGCAACGCCGCGGGAGUGAGGACGGCCUGCGGGUUGUAAAGCUCUGUUAGUCGGGACGCGGUACCGGAAUAGAAAGCCACGGCUAACUACGUGCCAGCAGCCGCGGUAAUAC